rnacentral:rRNA from 1 species
CCUACGGGUGGCAGCAGUGGGGGAUAUUGCACAAUGGGGGAAACCCUGAUGCAGCGACGCCGCGUGGGUGAAGAAGCGCCUCGGCGCGUAAAGCCCUGUCAGCAGGGAAGAAAAUGACGGUACCUGAAGAAGAAGCCCCGGCUAACUACGUGCCAGCAGCCGCGGUAAUACGUAGGGGGCAAGCGUUAUCCGGAUGUACUGGUUGUAAAGGGGGCGCAGACGGCGAGGCAAGCCAGGAGGGAAAGCCCGGGGCCCAACCCCGGGACUGCUCUGGGAACUGAGUGGCUAGAGUGCAGGAGGGGCAGGCGGAAUUCCUGGUGUAGCGGUGAAAUGCGUAGAUAUCAGGAGGAACACCGGUGGCGAAGGCGGCCUGCUGGACUGCAACUGACGUUGAGGCCCGAAAGCGUGGGGAGCAAACAGGAUUAGAUACCCUUGUAGUC